ACCCGGCUGACGAGACUCAAAUAGGAUGAAAUGCGCGUCCUGGAU
rfam:Schistosoma mattheei strain Denwood, Zambia genome assembly, scaffold: SMTD_contig0002230